GACGAACGCUGGCGGCGUGCUUAACACAUGCAAGUCGAACGGAAAGGCCCUGCUUUUGUGGGGUGCUCGAGUGGCGAACGGGUGAGUAACACGUGAGUAACCUGCCCUUGUCUUUGGGAUAACUUCAGGAAACUGGGGCUAAUAUCGGAUAGGAGCUCCUGCUGCAUGGUGGGGGUUGGAAAGUUUCGGCGGUUGGGGAUGGACUCGCGGCUUAUCAGCUUGUUGGUGGGGUAGUGGCUUACCAAGGCUUUGACGGGUAGCCGGCCUGAGAGGGUGAACGGCGACAUUGGUACUGAGAUACGGCCCAGACGCCUACGGGAGGCAGAAGUGGGGAAUAUUGCACAAUGGGCGGAAGCCUGAUGCAGCAACGCCGCGUGCGGGAUGACGGCCUUCGGGUUGUAAACCGCUUUCGCCUGUGACGAAGCGUGAGUGACGGUAAUGGGUAAAGAAGCACCGGCUAACUACGUG
rnacentral:rRNA from 1 species